rnacentral:rRNA from 1 species
CACGUAGGGUGCGAGCGUUGUCCGGAAUUAUUGGGCGUAAAGAGCUCGUAGGCGGUGUGUCGCGUCGGCCGUGAAAACCUGCAGCUUAACUGUGGGCUUGCGGUCGAUACGGGCAUCACUGGAGUUCGGCAGGGGAGACUGGAAUUCCUGGUGUAGCGGUGAAAUGCGCAGAUAUCAGGAGGAACACCAAUGGCGAAGGCAGCUCACUGGGACGAUACUGACGCUGAGACGCGAAAGCGUGGGGAGCAAACAGG